AGAGUUUGAUCCUGGCUCAGGACGAACGCUGGCGGCGCGCCUAACACAUGCAAGUCGAACGAGCGAGAGAGAGCUUGCUUUCUCGAGCGAGUGGCGAACGGGUGAGUAACGCGUGAGGAACCUGCCUCAAAGAGGGGGACAACAGUUGGAAACGACUGCUAAUACCGCAUAAGCCCACGGCUCGGCAUCGAGCAGAGGGAAAAGGAGCAAUCCGCUUUGAGAUGGCCUCGCGUCCGAUUAGCUAGUUGGUGAGGUAACGGCCCACCAAGGCGACGAUCGGUAGCCGGACUGAGAGGUUGAACGGCCACAUUGGGACUGAGACACGGCCCAGACUCCUACGGGAGGCAGCAGUGGGGAAUAUUGCACAAUGGGGGAAACCCUGAUGCAGCGACGCCGCGUGGAGGAAGAAGGUCUUCGGAUUGUAAACUCCUGUUGUUGAGGAAGAUAAUGACGGUACUCAACAAGGAAGUGACGGCUAACUACGUGCCAGCAGCCGCGGUAAAACGUAGGUCACAAGCGUUGUCCGGAAUUACUGGGUGUAAAGGGAGCGCAGGCGGGAAGACAAGUUGGAAGUGAAAUCUAUGGGCUCAACCCAUAAACUGCUUUCAAAACUGUUUUUCUUGAGUAGUGCAGAGGUAGGCGGAAUUCCCGGUGUAGCGGUGGAAUGCGUAGAUAUCGGGAGGAACACCAGUGGCGAAGGCGGCCUACUGGGCACCAACUGACGCUGAGGCUCGAAAGUGUGGGUAGCAAACAGGAUUAGAUACCCUGGUAGUCCACACCGUAAACGAUGAUUACUAGGUGUUGGAGGAUUGACCCCUUCAGUGCCGCAGUUAACACAAUAAGUAAUCCACCUGGGGAGUACGACCGCAAGGUUGAAACUCAAAGGAAUUGACGGGGGCCCGCACAAGCAGUGGAGUAUGUGGUUUAAUUCGACGCAACGCGAAGAACCUUACCAAGUCUUGACAUCCCUUGACGAUGCUGGAAACAGUAUUUCUCUUCGGAGCAAGGAGACAGGUGGUGCAUGGUUGUCGUCAGCUCGUGUCGUGAGAUGUUGGGUUAAGUCCCGCAACGAGCGCAACCCUUAUGGUCAGUUACUACGCAAGAGGACUCUGGCCAGACUGCCGUUGACAAAACGGAGGAAGGUGGGGAUGACGUCAAAUCAUCAUGCCCUUUAUGACUUGGGCUACACACGUACUACAAUGGCGUUAAACAAAGAGAAGCAAGACCGCGAGGUGGAGCAAAACUCAGAAACAACGUCCCAGUUCGGACUGCAGGCUGCAACUCGCCUGCACGAAGUCGGAAUUGCUAGUAAUCGUGGAUCAGCAUGCCACGGUGAAUACGUUCCCGGGCCUUGUACACACCGCCCGUCACACCAUGAGAGCCG
rnacentral:rRNA from 1 species